GAUGAACGCUGGCGGCGUGCCUAAUACAUGCAAGUCGAGCGAACGGACGAGAAGCUUGCUUCUCUGAUGUUAGCGGCGGGCGGGUGAGUAACACGUGGAUCACCUACCUAUAAGACUGGGAUAACUUCGGGAAACCGGAGCUAAUACCGGAUAAUAUUUUGAACCGCAUGGUUCAAAAGUGAAAGACGGUCUUGCUGGCACUUAUAGCUGGAUCCGCGCUGCAUUAGCUAGUUGGUAAGGUAACGGCUUACCAAGGCAACGAUGCAUAGCCGACGUGAGAGGCGGGUCGCCGACCCGGGAGCGUGGACACCGUCCAUACUCCUGCGGUACGCAGCAGUAUGCAACGUGCCGCAGCGGUCGAAAGCCUGACGGAGCAGGCCGGCGUCAGAUGCGAAGGCGCUCGGUGCGUAAAACCGUGUUACGAGUUGAGAACAGAUUUGGAAGGAACUGUGCAGAGCUUGACGGUAACGAGUCAGAAAGCCACGGCUAACUACGUG
rnacentral:rRNA from 1 species